ensembl:snRNA LOC120096848 U2 spliceosomal RNA
AUCGCUUCUCGGCCUUUUGGCUAAGAUCAAGUGUAGUAUUUUUGUUCACACAUAAUCGUAAAAAAAUAAAGUGAGUAUAAAUGCACUUUUGAAUAAUGGCUUUCUUAACAGAUAUGUUUUACUUUUU